GGGCUAUAGCUCAGUUGGUAGAGCACCUCGUUUACACCGAGAAUGUCUA
rnacentral:tRNA from 1 species